GUGAGAGUUACCUAGACCCGAAGAAACGCUUCUAGACUUUGUCUUCUUGUUCAUCUCGAGACUCGUGUCUGUAGUAAGCUUCGUCAUCAUUGAAGAUCUCUACUCGCAUCAAAGAGGGAGUGCGCUGUCUCGAAAAGAUCUUGCGAUGUCUCAAAAUCGAGUCAAUUACGUACAGUGGUCUCACAGACUCGAUCAUGAAUAUUUAAACGUCUCUAAUCCACCAGACGCUCCGCCGCCUCUUCCUCCACGCAGAUCAUCGAAUUCCGAAUUGCCACAGUCUCCCGUCUCUGGCCAAAGCAAAAUCUUCAGUACAGACCAG